rnacentral:rRNA from 1 species
GUCGAGCGGUAGAGAGGUGCUUGCACCUCUUGAGAGCGGCGGACGGGUGAGUAAAGCCUAGGAAUCUGCCUGGUAGUGGGGGAUAACGCUCGGAAACGGACGCUAAUACCGCAUACGUCCUACGGGAGAAAGCAGGGGACCUUCGGGCCUUGCGCUAUCAGAUGAGCCUAGGUCGGAUUAGCUAGUUGGUGAGGUAAUGGCUCACCAAGGCGACGAUCCGUAACUGGUCUGAGAGGAUGAUCAGUCACACUGGAACUGAGACACGGUCCAGACUCCUACGGGAGGCAGCAGUGGGGAAUAUUGGACAAUGGGCGAAAGCCUGAUCCAGCCAUGCCGCGUGUGUGAAGAAGGUCUUCGGAUUGUAAAGCACUUUAAGUUGGGAGGAAGGGCAUUAACCUAAUACGUUAGUGUUUUGACGUUACCGACAGAAUAAGCACCGGCUAACUCUGUGCCAGCAGCCGCGGUAAUACAGAGGGUGCAAGCGUUAAUCGGAAUUACUGGGCGUAAAGCGCGCGUAGGUGGUUCGUUAAGUUGGAUGUGAAAUCCCCGGGCUCAACCUGGGAACUGCAUUCAAAACUGUCGAGCUAGAGUAU